rnacentral:lncRNA from 1 species
UUCCUGAAUGUUAUUCCUUGAUUUAACCUGGAAUAGUAUUUCUUGUGCUUCUUCAUAGCUAUUCAGCACAUUGGAAACAGAUUUAUUUCAGGUUAUUUUCGGGGGUGAUAGGAGUAGACUGAAUAAUGGCUCCUCAGAGGUAUCUACUUCCUAAUUUCUGAAACCUGGGUUUGUGUUAGCUUAUAUGCUAAAGAGGCCUAGCAGGUCCAAAUAAAUUAAGGAGGUAGGGAGGCUGUAUUAUCUAGGUGAGCCCAAUGUAAUCACAAGGGACUUAUACGCGGGAGGGAGGAGAGAGAAGAUUUGUGUGAUGUGGUCAGGAGCCAAGGAAUGCCUGAUGCUUCUAGCACCUGGAAGAGGAAGUUUGCUGUGCCAAGAUACCACCUGGGUUUCCUCUUUGCAGAGAAAAGGAUGAGAGAACAUCCAACUGUUUUGAGAAGGAUGAAGAAUUACUGAGAAGAGUGUCCAUAAAUAUAAAAAGAUAAGGACAAAAAAGAGCUCAGCAGUCUAUGACCACAAAUGGUGAGAGAACAAAAGAUGGCUUUCAAUCAGAUACUCCCUCCUCGCUGAUAUACGUUAUUUACAUAGCUCUGAUGUAUAGGCUAUCCUUGGGAAGACAAAAUGGUGGGUAAAAAAUCCAAAAUUAUUAAACAGAAAAUACCUUACAAAGUUAACAUUUAAUAAUCUCUAUAGAAUUGAUUACUAACUUGUAUUU